rnacentral:rRNA from 1 species
UACGGGGGGGCAAGCGUUGUUCGGAAUUACUGGGCGUAAAGAGUUCGUAGGCGGCGCAGAAAGUAGGGUGUGAAAGCCCUCGGCUUAACCGAGGAAUUGCGCUCUAAACUACUGUGCUUGAGGAACCUAGAGGUGAGCAGAACUGAUGGUGGAGCGGUGAAAUGCGUUGAUAUCAUCAGGAAUACCGGAGGCGAAGGCGGCUCACUGGGGGUUUUCUGACGCUGAGGAACGAAAGCCAGGGGAGCGAACGGG